AGUGAACGCUGGCGGUAGGCCUAACACAUGCAAGUCGAACGGCAGCACAGUAAGAGCUUGCUCUUACGGGUGGCGAGUGGCGGACGGGUGAGGAAUACAUCGGAAUCUACUUUUUCGUGGGGGAUAACGUAGGGAAACUUACGCUAAUACCGCAUACGAUCUACGGGUUAAAGCAGGGGAUCUUCGGACCUUGCGCGAUUGAAUGAGCCGAUGUCGGAUUAGCUAGUUGGCGGGGUAAAGGCCCACCAAGGCGACGAUCCGUAGCUGGUCUGAGAGGAUGAUCAGCCACACUGGAACUGAGACACGGUCCAGACUCCUACGGGAGGCAGCAGUGGGGAAUAUUGGACAAUGGGCGCAAGCCUGAUCCAGCCAUACCGCGUGGGUGAAGAAGGCCUUCGGGUUGUAAAGCCCUUUUGUUGGGAAAGAAAAGCAGCAGGUUAAUACCCCGCUGUUCUGACGGUACCCAAAGAAUAAGCACCGGCUAACUUCGUG
rnacentral:rRNA from 1 species